UACGUAGGGGGCAAGCGUUGUCCGGAAUUAUUGGGCGUAAAGAGCGUGUAGGCGGUCCGGUAAGUCAGCUGUGAAAGUCAAGGGCUCAACCCUUGAAAGCCGGUUGAUACUGUCGGGCUAGAGUCCGGAAGAGGCGAGUGGAAUUCCCGGUGUAGCGGUGAAAUGCGCAGAUAUCGGGAGGAACACCAAUGGCGAAGGCAGCUGGCUGGGACGGUACUGACGCUGAGACGCGAAAGCGUGGGGAGCAAACAGG
rnacentral:rRNA from 1 species